rnacentral:rRNA from 1 species
CAACAGGGUUGCCUCCAGUAACGGCGAGUGCAAGCGGCAAAAGCUCAAAUUUGAAAUCCUUCGGGAAUUGUAUUUUGAAGGUGGGUUUGGUUAGGAAAAGAUACUUUAAGUCCAUUGGAAAAUGGCGCCAUGGAGGGUGAUAGCCCCGUAAAAGUCCCCCUUUUCCUUCUAUCCAUUCCCUCCAAAGAGUCGAGUUGUUUGGGAAUGCAGCUCUAAGUGGGUGGUAAAUUCCAUCUAAAGCUAAAUAUUGGCGAGAGACCGAUAGCGAACAAGUACAGUGAUGGAAAGAUGAAAAGCACUUUGAAAAGAGAGUGAAAAAGUACGUGAAAUUGUUGAAAGGGAAGGGCUUGCAAGCAGACACAACCUCGGUUGGGCCAGCAUCGGAGUGGGGGGAGACAAAAAAGAAAAGGAAUGUAACUCUUUCGAGUAUUAUAGCCUUCUCUCAUAUCUCCACCCCCUUCCGAGGCCUGCGAUUCUUCAAGGAUGCUGGCGUAAUGGUUGCAAGUCGCCCGUCUUGAAACACGGACCA